rnacentral:rRNA from 1 species
UACGUAGGGUCCAAGCGUUAAUCGGAUUUACUGGGCGUAAAGCGUGCGUAGGCGGCUUUUUAAGUCGGAUGUGAAAUCCCUGAGCUUAACUUAGGAAUUGCAUUCGAUACUGGGAAGCUAGAGUAUGGGAGGGGAUGGUAGAAUUCCAGGUGUAGCGGUGAAAUGCGUAGAGAUCUGGAGGAAUACCGAUGGCGAAGGCAGCCAUCUGGCCUAAUACUGACGCUGAGGUACGAAAGCAUGGGGAGCAAACAGGAUUAGAUACCCGAGUAGUCC